UGGAUUAGGGGUCUCUUCCUCUCAGUCGUCAUCAAGUGAAACAGAGGCUCUACUCAAAUGGAAAGCCACUCUCCAAAACUACUCUGUCCCUGCUCUCCGUUCUUGGAAGCUUACAUCAUCAUCCUCAGCACCAAUCCCCUGCUGCAACUGGUUUGGUAUAACUUGUAACAAAGCCCGAACCAGCGUGGUUGAGAUUAGCCUUCCAGGACUGGAGCUGCAAGGUACGCUUCACAACUUCACCUUCUCUUCCUUUCCCAAUCUCUUCCUUCUCAAUCUCAGCCUCAAUGGACUCACAGGACCCAUACCAGAUCAAAUUGGUAGACUCUCCAAACUGAUCACCCACCUCGAUCUCAGUGGCAAUGAACUCAGCGGUCCAAUACCUUACGCAAUGGGAAAUCUGGUAAAUUUGGUUAUGUUGGGCCUAGAUACAAACAACCUCAGUGAUCCAAUCCCUAAUUCUCUGGCUAAUUUAACUAGACUAGAGACCCUCUAUUUGCAUGGCAAUCAAUUAUCUGGUCCAAUGCCUUCUGAAAUUGGAGAUAUGAAAAAUCUGGUUCACUUGGCACUACAAAAAAACAAAUUCAGUGGUCCAAUCCCUCAUUCUUUGGCUAAUUUAACUAGACUGAAGAGCCUCCAUUUGUACAACAAUCAAUUAUCUGGUCCAAUGCCUUCUAAAGUCGGAGAUAUGAAAAAUCUGGUUGACUUGGAGCUAUCUCAAAACAACCUCAGUGGUCCAAUCCCUCAUUCUCUGUCUAAUUUAACUAGACUAGAGUUCCUCGAUUUGGAUUCGAAUCAAUUAUCUGGUCCAAUGCCUUCUGAAAUCAGAGAUAUGAAAAAUCUGAUUGACUUGUGGCUAUUUGAAAACAACCUGAGUGGUCCAAUCCCUCAUUCUCUGCCUAAUUUAACUAGACUAGAGACCCUCUAUUUGUAUUCGAAUCAAUUAUCUGGUCCAAUGCCUUCUGAAAUCGGAGAUAUGAAAAAUCUGGUUGACUUGGCAUUACAACAAAACAACCUCAGUGGUCCAAUCCCUUAUUCUCUGGCUAAUUUAACUAGACUAAAGAGUCUCCAUUUGUACGACAAUCAAUUAUCUGGUCCAAUGCCUUCUGAAAUCGGAGAUAUGAAAAAUUUGAUUGACUUGUGGCUAUCUCAAAACAACCUCAGUGGUCCAAUCCCUCAUUCUCUGUCUAAUUUAACUAGACUAGAGUUCCUCGAUUUGGAUUCGAAUCAAUUAUCUGGUCCAAUGCCUUCUGUAAUCAGAGAUAUGAAAAAUCUGAUUGACUUGUGGCUAUUUGAAAACAACCUGAGUGGUUCAAUCCCUCAUUCUCUGUCUAAUUUAACUAGACUAGAGACCCUCUAUUUGUAUUCGAAUCAAUUAUCUGGUCCAAUGCCUUCUGAAAUCGGAGAUAUGAAAAAUCUGGUUGACUUGGCAUUACAACAAAACAACCUCAAUGGUCCAAUCCCUUAUUCUCUGGCUAAUUUAACUAGACUGAAGAGUCUCCAUUUGUACGACAAUCAAUUAUCUGGUCCAAUGCCUUCUGAAAUCGGAGAUAUGAAAAAUUUGAUUGACUUGUGGCUAUCUCAAAACAACCUCAGUGGUCCAAUCCCUCAUUCUCUGUCUAAUUUAACUAGACUAGAGACCCUCUAUUUUGAUUCUAAUCAAUUAUCUGGUCCAAUGCCUUCUGAAAUCGGAGAUAUGAAAAAUUUGAUUGACUUGGAGCUAUAUCAAAACAACCUCAGUGGUCCAAUCCCUCAUUCCCUGUCUAAUUUAACUAGAUUGAAGAUCCUCUCUUUGUAUGGCAAUCAAUUAUCUGGUGUCAUAGCUCAAGAUUUUGGUAGCCAAGCAUUUAUUGUAAAAUUCCAGUUGUCCGACAACCUCUUAUCUGGAAGCUUACCUCAACAAAUAUGCAAAGGGAGAUCACUUCAAAGAUUUUCGGUUGAGAACAAUAGUCUUACAGGUCCUAUUCCAGACUUAAGAAAUUGCCCAAGUUUAAGUAGAGUUCGACUUGAAAACAACCAAUUUGUAGGAAAUAUAACUGACAGUUUUGGUGUACAUCCACAUCUUUAUUACAUUGAUAUGAGUCACAACAGACUAUAUGGAGAGUUGUCACCAAAUUGGGGAAAAUGUAAGAAUUUGACAUUUCUAAAGAUUUCUGGAAACAAUAUUAGUGGAAAGAUACCACACGAAAUUGGUCAGUUAACACGACUUGGACUACUUGACCUUUCUUUCAACAAACUUAUUGGUGAGAUACCAAUGGAAUUGGGUAGUUUAUCCACUUUGUUACACUUGAAUUUAAGUGGCAACCAUAUUUCAGGGCAUGUACCAGUUGAAAUUGGUAAAUUAAUCAAUUUGGUGCUUCUUGACCUCUCGGCAAACAGGUUAAUUGGAUCAAUCUCAGUUCAGCUUGGUCAAUGCUCCAAAUUGCUGUCAUUAAAUUUGAGCUGGAAUUCAUUGAAUGGAAGCAUUCCAUCUCAAAUUGGUGAUCUAGUAUCCUUACAAAUUCAAUUGGACCUUAGUCAUAACUCAAUUAGUGGAUCGAUACCACCUGAGCUUGCAAAGUUGAUGAUGCUGGAAAUUUUGAACUUAUCCCAUAAUAUGAUCACAGGCUCAAUACCUUUUUCUCUUGAAAAUAUGGUUAGCUUAGUAUCUCUUGAUCUAUCCUACAAUGAGUUAGAGGGUGUUGUUCCCAACACUAGGGUUUUUAGAAAUGCUUCUUCACCUCAAGCAUUUAGAAACAAUAAGGGGUUAUGUGGUGAACUUCAAGGUCUACUUCCUUGCAAUCCAUCUCUUACAAGCAAAGGAUUGACAAAAAAUGGAUAUAAAGUUGUCAUAUCCAUCGUUGCUUCUUUUAUAGGAAUUGUGUUCCUAAUAUUUGCAAUUAUCGGCAUUUUCUUCCUCUUGCGAAAAAAAGUGAAAAAGGAGAAUAUAGAACAGGCAAGAAGAAACCAUGGAAAUGUAUUUUCAAUAUGGAAUUUUGAUGGAAAGAUUGCUUAUGAGGACAUUAUUCAAGCAACAGAGGAUUUUGAUGCCAAAUAUUGCAUUGGAAUUGGAACUUAUGGGAGUGUUUACAAAGCAGUGUUACCUACUGGCCAUGUAGUCGCCUUGAAGAAGUUCCAUCCGUUGGAAGGUGAGAUGAUAGUUGAUGAUGAAAGCUUUGGGAAUGAGAUUCGUGUGUUAAUAGAAAUAAGUCAUCGAAACAUAGUCAAACUUUAUGGAUUCUGCUUUCAUCCGCGAUGCAUGUUUCUUGUUUAUGAGUACAUGGAAAAAGGAAGCAUAGCACGUAUCUUAAGCAAUCAAGCAGAGGCUAUUGAGUUUGAUUGGCAGAAAAGAGUAAAUGCCAUCAAAAGUGUGGCCAAUGCUUUGUCUUACUUGCAUCAUGAUUGCAUUCCCCCAAUAAUUCAUCGGGAUAUUUCAAGCAAAAAUAUAUUGCUGGACUUGGACCUUGAGGCUCAUGUAUCUGAUUUUGGCAUUGCAAGAUUAUUAAAGCCAGACUCAUCUAAUUGGACGUCACUUAAAGGAACUCAUGGAUAUAUUGCUCCAGAGCUUGCAUACACCAUGGCUUUAACUGAGAAGUGUGAUGUAUAUAGUUUCGGAGUAGUGGCAUUAGAAACAAUUAUGGGAAAGCAUCCAAGGGAGCUCAUCUCAUCCUUAACAUCAUUAGUUGGCCAAAAGAUUCUACUAAGGGACAUGUUAGACCCAUGCCUCACCUUUCCAUCAGACCAAAAUGUUGCAAAGGAUGUGGUUUCUAUUGUGAGAAUAGCACUUGCAUGUUUACGCAAUCACCCACAUUCCCACCCAAAUAUGCAUCAAGUAUCAAAAAAGCUACUUUUUCUCCAACCAUCAUUUGUGGAGAAUUUUCAUACAAUUACUGUAGGUGACCUAAAUGCUAUUGAAAUACAAUAAUUAUGAUCGACGGCUCAUUUGACCAACAGGGGACUGACACGAUUUGUUUAAGACCACAAUCAAAAUUAAACAAUAAAUCUCAAGGUUAGCAUUUUGUUAAUUUCAUGGUUAUCAAUCCAUUUCAUUCCAAAACUAUAUCAUCCUUUUGGGCUUUUGAUAGGGAUGGCAUGGCUAAAGUCCUCACUGUGUAGACCAUAGAGCCGAUCUUUAUUUCUUUGGAGAGGGAAUAUGAAUAAUUCAAGGUUGUAAGGUGUUCUGAGGCUGGAUAAAAAAAAGAGGAAGUCAGUUGCGACUUCCGCAGCAGAAGAAAGAGAGGAGAAGGAGAGGGAGAGACGUAUUUAUUGUAAAAGAGGUUCACUUUAGGUAGUAGUGCCCUGAAGUGAGUGAAACCCCAGCUGAAAUUUUCGAGUUAAUUGAUUGACAUUUGGAAAACUGCAUCAUCCAUGUGAUACUCAUGGUUCGGCUGAUGGCUAUGCCAAAGGUACAUGAGUCAUAUGAGUUUUCUUUGGUUGUCUUAAGUUUUGUUGAUGGCCAUGCCGAAGGUGGAGUGUUAAAUCAAUUCUGUAUUUUUUCCCACUUAGGUAUGCAUAGAUUUUAAUCUUUUGUACAUCCUAAUCUAUUAUUAAUAGAAUCUUUUGCUGACCUUUAGCUAGAAAAAAAUAUUGUUCCAUUUUUUCUCUAAUAUAUGACUUGUGUAGCAGGUAUUUCUUGGAAAAAAUGGUGUUCGAGAUGCCAUUGUGAAUUAAAAAAAGAGGACAAAUUAUUAAAAAACAGAGGAAAGAAGUUUCGGUUGAAGGGGGAAACAGGAAUAGCAGCUGCACUUUCAGCUUAUUGUCAUGCAGAGCUUUCUAGCCGCUGGAAGUGCCUACCAUUGUUCAUAUAUUCCUGGGCUUGAUGUUGGGGUUGUCUCAUGUUCUGCAAUUCUCGUAUUUGUGGUCACUCGAUCUUUUGUGUGGGAAUUAAGGAGUAGUGUUGGAAGGAAGGGGGCACACAAGAGUUAAGGCUGCCUAAGAGUCCUCUUUCACCCGUACACUGAAGGUUAGGUGGUGAGACUUCUUUGGAGAUCUGCAUAUGGAUUGUGUAUGCAAGUUGUUUACUGACUAAACUCUCUCUCUUUCUGUUUCUAUAUAAAAGUGGGGGAGUGAGAGGGUAAUGUAUAAAGGUAAAUAUAUUUCUGAUUCUCAAACCAUGAAGCUGUCUUCUUGUGAGAUCUCUUUUUUACUUUGGUCUUUGUGAGGACGAAAGAGGGGAGGAAAGAUGGAAGAGAAGGCGUUAUCUUGUAUUGGGUUGUGGCAUGACGGUGUUCUCUCUGUCAAGGAAAGAAAGAAAGGUACUGAGUCUUUUCUGUAUUUUUUAAUGACAUGUUUGAAGGUGACGGUACUAUAAUUUUGUGAAUCCACCUUUGUUUGGUGAGUUUCUUUGUAACCCAAGAUGUAAUUUUUUCUCUUGAUAUUUUGGUAGCCUCUAUAUUGUCUAGAGAGGAGAUCUUGUAACCUCUUUACUAUUAUAGUGAAAGUUUUUUCCUGGACGAGGUCCCGUGGUUUUUUC